AUUGAACGCUGGCGGCAUGCUUUACACAUGCAAGUCGAACGGCAGCGCGGGCUUCGGCCUGGCGGCGAGUGGCGAACGGGUGAGUAAUACAUCGGAACGUGCCCAGUAGUGGGGGAUAGCUCGGCGAAAGCCGGAUUAAUACCGCAUACGACCUGAGGGUGAAACCGGGGGAUCUUCGGACCUCGCGCUAUUGGAGCGGCCGAUGGCAGAUUAGCUAGUUGGUGGGGUAAAGGCCUACCAAGGCGACGAUCUGUAGCUGGUCUGAGAGGACGACCAGCCACACUGGGACUGAGACACGGCCCAGACUCCUACGGGAGGCAGCAGUGGGGAAUUUUGGACAAUGGGCGAAAGCCUGAUCCAGCAAUGCCGCGUGUGUGAUGAAGGCCUUCGGGUUGUAAAGCACUUUUGGCGGGAACGAAAAGGACUGUGCCAAUACCACGGUUCGAUGACGGUACCCGCAGAAUAAGCACCGGCUAACUACGUG
rnacentral:rRNA from 1 species